GGCCUAACACAUGCAAGUCGAGCGGAAACGACACUAACAAUCCUUCGGGUGCGUUAAUGGGCGUCGAGCGGCGGACGGGUGAGUAAUGCCUAGGAAAUUGCCUUGAUGUGGGGGAUAACCAUUGGAAACGAUGGCUAAUACCGCAUGAUGCCUACGGGCCAAAGAGGGGGACCUUCGGGCCUCUCGCGUCAAGAUAUGCCUAGGUGGGAUUAGCUAGUUGGUGAGGUAAUGGCUCACCAAGGCGACGAUCCCUAGCUGGUCUGAGAGGAUGAUCAGCCACACUGGAACUGAGACACGGUCCAGACUCCUACGGGAGGCAGCAGUGGGGAAUAUUGCACAAUGGGCGAAAGCCUGAUGCAGCCAUGCCGCGUGUAUGAAGAAGGCCUUCGGGUUGUAAAGUACUUUCAGUUGUGAGGAAGGGUGUGNAGUUAAUAGCUGCGCAUCUUGACGUUAGCAACAGAAGAAGCACCGGCUAACUCCGUGCCAGCAGCCGCGGUAAUACGGAGGGUGCGAGCGUUAAUCGGAAUUACUGGGCGUAAAGCCGCAUGCAGGUGGUUCAUUAAGUCAGAUGUGAAAGCCCG
rnacentral:rRNA from 1 species